AGACCCGAAACCCGGUGAUCUAGCCAUGGGCAGGUUGAAGGUUGGGUAACACUAACUGGAGGACCGAACCGACUAAUGUUGAAAAAUUAGCGGAUGACCUGUGGCUGGGGGUGAAAGGCCAAUCAAACCGGGAGAUAGCUGGUUCUCCCCGAAAGCUAUUUAGGUAGCGCCUCGUGAAUUCAUCUCCGGGGGUAGAGCACUGUUUCGGCUAGGGGGCCAUCCCGGCUUACCAACCCGAUGCAAACUGCGAAUACCGGAGAAUGUUAUCACGGGAGACACACGGCGGGUGCUAACGUCCGUCGUGAAGAGGGAAACAACCCAGACCGCCAGCUAAGGUCCCAAAGUCAUGGUUAAGUGGGAAACGAUGUGGGAAGGCCCAGACAGCCAGGAUGUUGGCUUAGAAGCAGCCAUCAUUUAAAGAAAGCGUAAUAGCUCACUGGUCGAGUCGGCCUGCGCGGAAGAUGUAACGGGGCUAAACCAUGCACCGAAGCUGCGGCAGCGAACGUAUCACCCAAGACAACUUUACGGAGUUGACGAUUGACGGAGCGAAGCGACGUCAAAGCGUUCAUUAAAGUCGAGUUGGCUUAGGGAUACGUUCGUUGGGUAGGGGAGCGUUCUGUAAGCCUGUGAAGGUGUGUCGUGAGGCAUGCUGGAGGUAUCAGAAGUGCGAAUGCUGACAUAAGUAACGAUAAAGCGGGUGAAAAGCCCGCUCGCCGGAAGACCAAGGGUUCCUGUCCAACGUUAAUCGGGGCAGGGUGAGUCGACCCCUAAGGCGAGGCCGAAAGGCGUAGUCGAUGGGAAACGGGUUAAUAUUCCCGUACUUGGUGUUACUGCGAAGGGGGGACGGAGAAGGCUAUGUUGGCCGGGCGACGGUUGUCCCGGUUUAAGCGUGUAGGUGUGUGUUCCAGGUAAAUCCGGUUCACUUUAACACUGAGGCGUGACGACGAGGCACUACGGUGCUGAAGCAACAAAUGCCCUGCUUCCAGGAAAAGCCUCUAAGCAUCAGGUAACACGAAAUCGUACCCCAAACCGACACAGGUGGUCAGGUAGAGAAUACCAAGGCGCUUGAGAGAACUCGGGUGAAGGAACUAGGCAAAAUGGUGCCGUAACUUCGGGAGAAGGCACGCUGACACGUAGGUGAAGUGAUUUACUCAUGGAGCUGAAGUCAGUCGAAGAUACCAGCUGGCUGCAACUGUUUAUUAAAAACACAGCACUGUGCAAACA
rnacentral:rRNA from 1 species